GACGAACGCUGGCGGCGUGCUUAACACAUGCAAGUCGAACGGAAAGGCCCUGCUUUUGUUGGGUGCUCGAGUGGCGAACGGGUGAGUAACACGUGAGUAACCUGCCCUUGACUUUGGGAUAACUUCAGGAAACUGGGGCUAAUACCGGAUAGGAGCUCCUGCUGCAUGGUGGGGGUUGGAAAGUUUCGGCGGUUGGGGAUGGACUCGCGGCUUAUCAGCUUGUUGGUGGGGUAGUGGCUUACCAAGGCUUUGACGGGUAGCCGGCCUGAGAGGGUUACCGGCCACAUUGGGACUGAGAUACGGCGCAGAAUCCUACGGGAGGCAGCAGUGGGGAAUAUUGCACAAUGGGCGGAAGCCUGAUGCAGCAACGCCGCGUGCGGGAUGACGGCCUUCGGGUUGUAAACCGCUUUCGCCUGUGACGAAGCGUGAGUGACGGUAAUGGGUAAAGAAGCACCGGCUAACUACGUG
rnacentral:rRNA from 1 species